UAUCUCAUUGUAGUUCUGAUUUGCAUUUCUCUAAUGAUCAGUGAUGUUGAGAUUUCUUUUUCAUGUGAUUGUUGGUUGCAUGUAUACCUUCUUUGGUUCUUUUGGUUUUAUAUGAAUUUUGAAAUAAAUUUUGGACAAUUUGUUUAUACUGUGUGUGUGUCCAGUUGUGAUUGGAAUAUAUUGUAGAAACUCAAGUAAAUAUCUUCUAAUGACUCAAUGAAUUGAUUUAUUUGGGAUGCUUUAUAAAAAGUAUAACUUUUUCCUAAUGCAGAAUGUCCUAGUAGAAAUAAAAAAAUACAGUAUAUCAAUAAUUCCUAGCAUUCCCAAGGAAGGAAACAAGUAAUCGUAUUAAGUAAAAUGAUAAAAUAAUACAAGUCUUAAUGUUGAUGCCCAACAUCAAGCCAUUUUUAAGAAUCACAAGCAGUGCAGCAGUAUUAUUGCUGAUGCUUUAAAGCUGAGCCAUAUUUUCUUAGAUAUUUAUAGGAUGGCUUUGUAGGUAAAAUACAGGAGUAAAUACCUGUGCUAGGUUGUUUUAUCGUGCAGUUAUUCAUUCUUCCUUUCCUGUAAGAAAAUUAUACAUUGUUGCUCAUUGACAUCAGGCUUAAGGGGCCCCUUAUGGACAGAAUAUAUAUUCUCUGCUCCAUUGAUGUUUGACCUGACUAUGUGAUGUGCUUUAGUCAAUGGAAUAAAUGUAGGCACGAUGUAUACUGUUUUUGAGAAGAAACUUUAAAAGGUACUAAUGAAAUUUCUUUGCCUGUUUGUUUCUGCCUUCUGUAUGGGUCCUGGAAUAAAAAUAUAUGGAUGAGGAUUGCAGCUGACUUCAGCCUACAUGCAGUUUGAAUAUGAAACAGAUUCCAUACCCCUUCAGGAGGCACACGUUAUCUUCUGUGGCCUGACUCCUACCAUAUCAGUGUACUGUCACCCAGAAAACUGUUAUAGAAGAUGUCCGAGCAUAUGGAAAAGAACCUUGAACAUGGAACAAGGAGACACGGGUUCAGCCUCUGGGCAAAUAAUUGAACUGGCACAACAAAGAAAAAGAUGUCGGAAAUUGUUCAUCAAAAAACUGAGUGCUUAUCUAUGAAUCAACUGCCCUACUUGCCCACGUCUUCCUCCUGCGAUGAACUCAGGCACUGGUACGCAGUAUAGACAUGGUACAGAGGAUUGUC